rnacentral:rRNA from 1 species
GAGUUUGAUCAUGGCUCAGGAUGAACGCUAGCGGCAGGCUUAAUACAUGCAAGUCGAGGGGCAGCAUAAGUAGCAAUACUUGAUGGCGACCGGCAAACGGGUGCGGAACACGUACGCAACCUUCCUUUAAGUGGAGAAUAGCCCGGGGAAACCCGGAUUAAUACUCCGUAACAUUAUGAAGUGGCAUCACUUUAUAAUUAUAGAUUUAUCGCUUAAAGAUGGGCGUGCGCCUGAUUAGGCAGUUGGCGGGGUAACGGCCCACCAAACCUACGAUCAGUAACUGGCGUGAGAGCGCGACCAGUCACACGGGCACUGAGACACGGGCCCGACUCCUACGGGAGGCAGCAGUAAGGAAUAUUGGUCAAUGGACGCAAGUCUGAACCAGCCAUGCCGCGUGGAGGAUGAAGGUCCUCUGGAUUGUAAACUUCUUUUAUUUGGGAAGAAAUGUGAGAAUUCUUUUUCACUUGACGGUACCAGAUGAAUAAGCACCGGCUAACUCCGUGCCAGCCGCCGCGGUAAG